rnacentral:rRNA from 1 species
UCCGGAGGCAGCAGUAGGGAAUUUUCCGCAAUGGACGAAAGUCUGACGGAGCAACGCCGCGUGAGUGAUGAAGGCUUUCGGGUUGUAAAACUUUGUUGUUAGGGAAGAACAAGUGCUAGUUGAAUAAGCUGGCACCUUGACGGUACCUAACCAGAAAGCCACGGCUAACUACGUGCCAGCAGCCGCGGUAAUACGUAGGUGGCAAGCGUUAUCCGGAAUUAUUGGGCGUAAAGCGCGCGCAGGUGGUUUUUUAAGUCUGAUGUGAAAGCCCACGGCUCAACCGUGGAGGGUCAUUGGAAACUGGGAGACUUGAGUGCAGAAGAGGAAAGUGGAAUUCCAUGUGUAGCGGUGAAAUGCGUAGAGAUAUGGAGGAACACUCAGUGGCGAAGGGGACUUUCUGGUCUGUAACUGACACUGAGGCGCGAAAGCGUGGGGAGCAAACAGGAUUAGAUACCCUGGUAGUCCACGCCGUAAACGAUGAAGUGUCCUAAUAG